AUCAAGUGAACUGGAGAGUAAUCUCCUGCGCUGUUCCCUUCUGCUGCAGAAUUCAAUGCCAUCCGUACCUCCAGACAUUCACAGCAAGCACCAGGUCCCUGUAAAAAAAAGUCAUCACCUGUUUGUUAUGGAGAUCAAGCAGGUUCCUCCAUCGUGCCAACCUGUUCUCCUUCCACUCAUUUCUCCAGAAGCAAUGUAAGAGAGAGAACGACAGUGCACUAAAGCAU
rnacentral:lncRNA from 1 species